CAUGGUGAUGGUGCAAGCCGGCCGGCGGGAGGGAGGGAGCGGACAUGGCGGCGAGCGAGCCGGCCUUCCUGGAGAAAGUGGGUGAACUGCAGCGGCAACUGCACUGCAGUGAGCAAAAAAGACUGGAGCUGGAAAAGAACCUUUUGACUUGUAGCAAGUCAAAUCAGUUAAUGGUAAGAGGUGCAAGAUUGAAAAGUUACUUGAAGGAAUUAUGUGAACGGGAGAAAAUAGCCCAACUUCGCAACCAUCAGUUGCUGAAGGAUUUUGAGAGUAUUGAAGCCCAGGUCACAGCAUUAACAUCAGGUUCAGACACACUGAAGCAAAUUAAGAUGGCAUAUGAAAAACAGAUCGAAAGAUUACUUCCAGUUUGGAGUAAGAACCUGAAGUCACAAGGGAAAGAGAAGGAAGCAAGUCUGGAACGAGCAAGUAAUUCAUCAAGACAAAGGGUUACAGAUGUCAGAGAAGAUCUGUCAAAGGCAUUAGAUACUACUGCCACUUGCAUCCUGGACCAACAAGAAUCACGGACCUCAAAUAGAACAUGUACAAGUCCACAACAAAAACAUCAACAGCACAUGGAGAGCUUUACAUCUUCUCAGCCAUACAGGCAGACAGCAUCAGUGACAGCAAUGCACAGUAAUUCUGUGAUGGACAACUUGAAGUUGCCCAUGUCAAGCAAGGGAAGGCAAGACUUCCACACUGUUUCUGACACAAUAGAAAGGAAGACAGGACUCCAAACCAGUGAAGUAAUGCCAUUCACUCCCAUAAUCUCUUCAAGAAGUGAAAGACAUCACUAUGAAGGGAUAGAAAGUAAUAGGCGCAUUAGAGCAAAUAGUUCAGCUGGCAGUCAGGAAUUACCUGUACCUGUGACUCAGUUAGAGCCCAUUAAGGAAGAGCUGACACAAGACACUAUGCUGAAUGAUUUUAAAAGUCGCCUGACAGAUGAAGUGAAUAGUCACAAAAACGUUAUUGUAAGUGAACAUGCACCUGAGUGGUUUCAGAGGCUGCCCAUGGAUUCAUUCCACGACAGCGUGUGUUCAGGAGGCUUCAGCAUGAACAUAAAGGAAAACAACCUUUGUCAAUUCGUGAGCUCCCAGAAUCAGAGAAAGGAUGUGGAGGAGGCUCUGAUGCAAAGUCAGGACGUGCAGAGGCUGGCAGAUGAACUAUGUGAUUCAGAAAGUGACCUUAGUAUUUCUGGUAAUGCUGAAGAAUUGCAGUUGAAGAAAUCUUUUGAAGAACCAUGUAAUCAUAAAACAGCUAUAAAUGAUGACCCGGCAAGGACCAGUGAGUCAGCCUUUACCAAAGAUAAAAGCUCUGCUGUUUCUAAAGAAGAACACAUUGUGCCUUUCUUAAAUCAACCAGAUCAAAAAGACCAUGGUGGUUCUGUGGAAGGUGACCUUCAUGAAGAACUAUGUGAGAUCAUAACACAAUCUCAGCAGAAUGAGGGGUACCUUUCACUUGAAGGAUUUUUUCACUUACUUCAAACAAUAGAAGAUGCUGUUGAAGAAACAAUGGCUACUUAUUCGGAACUGUAUCAGCAUGCUACAAUGAGUAAUGAAAAACUGCAGGAAAUCUCGAGUACUUGUAAUUUGAAAGGCCCUGUGAGCAGAGAAAACCUUCAGGCCUGUGGAGCAAUUGUUCUUCACCAGCUCAAGAGAUUGUCACAGAGUACUUCAAAUGGUUGCCUGUUGUCCGAAGAAAUUUUGAACAAAGAUUGGGAAGCAGUUGACGGAGGCAGUCAUAGAUUGUCAGAUUUGCCUGCUGAUUCUGCUACGUUGUGGGACCGCUGGUACUUGCAUGUUCUUUCUAUGCUGGAGCAUCAGGUGCUGACCACAGAUGAGGCUGCAGAAAUAUUUGGACCCUUAUUGGUUGCAGAAAGCAGUAAUAACUCCAAAAAGGCAACAGCAUUAUUGAAGAAAAUCCUUCCAAAAGCAGUUGAAAAUCAGUCUCUACCAAGUGAUGACUCGUCUUACAGCUUACCGUCCAUUUUCAAUGAUGAUAUAGAAAUUAAAUCAGAAAUUCCUGUGCCGUGGUUUGACCUGAAUAAUACCAAGCAGCAAGAAACAAGAGCAUAUCAACUAUUAAAACAAUUGGCAAUGCAGCAGAAUGAGAAGGAUGUCUCAGAUUUACAUUCAUCAGGUAAAAGCAAGCAGAAGUACACCAAUAAACUGAAAAAUGAGGUUAAAGAUGAGGAUAAUUUUGAAACUGGCUCCAGUGAAGGAAGUCCACAGUUAAGUGAACCAGAUUCUAAACAGGCUCUGUACCAAUUAUCGUCAGAGUUGACUACUUCAAAAGGGCCUGGCAGUAGACAUGAAGGCAAAUUAAGUACUCCCAGCAGGGAACUGCGUUCAAAGGAUGUAUGAGUUGGAAAACUGAGGCUACAACGUUGUAGCUGUGUUAGGACAUGUCUGACAACCACCCACGCUGCCUUUGAGCAUGGCUUCCUUGUGGGAAGAUGGCGCUGAAAAGAGUCUGAUAAAUCAAAAUUUCAGUCUCCUUAUCAUAAUCUAAAUUGAUCCUGUUCAUCUUAACAAGAUCUUGCAUCCAAUGAGGGCCAGAAACAAGAGAGAGAGGAUUAAUCCUGCAAAAUCAAAAGCAUUUUGGGGUGAAUCUGAUGACAGUGCAUCUGAUAUUGAAGCAAUUCUUCAUCCUAACAUUUCAGAAGUA